rnacentral:rRNA from 1 species
GUGGAUUAGAUACCCUGGUAGUCCACACCGUAAACGAUGUCUACUAGCUGUUCGUGACCUUGUGUUGUGAGUAGCGCAGCUAACGCACUAAGUAGACCGCCUGGGGAGUACGGUCGCAAGAUUAAAACUCAAAUGAAUUGACGGGGGCCCGCACAAGCGGUGGAGCAUGUGGUUUAAUUCGACGCAACGCGAAGAACCUUACCUACUCUUGACAUCUACGGAAGACUGCAGAGAUGCGGUUGUGCCUUCGGGAACCGUAAGACAGGUGCUGCAUGGCCGUCGUCAGCU